GAUGAAGAACGUAGCGAAAUGCGAUACUUGGUGUGAAUUGCAGAAUCCCGUGAACCAUCGAGUCUUUGAACGCAAGUUGCGCCCGAAGCCAUUAGGCCGAGGGCACGCCUGCCUGGGCGUCACACGUCGUUGCCCCCCCAUCUACUCCUUCGGGAUUGCGGGGGGCGGAUGAUGGCCUCCCGUGCGCCUCGUCGCGCGGUUGGCCUAAAUGCCAAGUCCUCGGCGACGCACGCCACGACAAUCGGUGGUUGCGAAACCUCGGUUGCCCGUCGUGUGCGGUCGUCGCGCAUCGAGGGCUCGAAAAAAGUGCCGGGCUUCGGCUCGACUUUCAACGCGACCCCAGGUCAGGCGGGGUUACCCGCUGAAUUUAAGCAUAUCAAUAAGCGGAGGA
rnacentral:misc_RNA from 1 species